rnacentral:rRNA from 1 species
GACGAACGCUGGCGGCGUGCUUAACACAUGCAAGUCGAACGGAAAGGCCCUGCUUUUGUGGGGUGCUCGAGUGGCGAACGGGUGAGUAACACGUGAGUAACCUGCCCUUGACUUUGGGAUAACUUCAGGAAACUGGGGCUAAUACCGAUAGGAGCUCCUGCUGCAUGGUGGGGGUUGGAAAGUUUCGGCGGUUGGGGAUGGACUCGCGGCUUAUCAGCUUGUUGGUGGGGUAGUGGCUUACCAAGGCUUUGACGGGUAGCCGGCCUGAGGGGGUGCCCGGCCAAAUUGGGAUGAGGAUACGGCCAAACCCCCACGGGGGGGAAGAGGGGGGGAAAAUGGAACAAGGGGGGGAGGCUGGAGGAGCAACGCCGCGUGGGGGGAGGAGGGCUUCGGGGUGGAAAACGCCUUCGCCUGGGACGGAGGGGGGGGGACGGGUAAGGGUAAAAGAAGAACCGGUAAAUUAGGG